GGACCCGCACAAGCGGUGGAUGAUGUGGUUUAAUUCGAUGCAACGCGAAAAACCUUACCCACCUUUGACAUGUACGGAAUUUGCCAGAGAUGGCUUAGUGCUCGAAAGAGAGCCGUAACACAGGUGCUGCAUGGCUGUCGUCAGCUCGUGUCGUGAGAUGUUGGGUUAAGUCCCGCAACGAGCGCAACCCUUGUCAUUAGUUGCUACAUUUAGUUGGGCACUCUAAUGAGACUGCCGGUGACAAACCGGAGGAAGGUGGGGAUGACGUCAAGUCCUCAUGGCCCUUAUAGGUGGGGCUACACACGUCAUACAAUGGCUGGUACAAAGGGUUGCCAACCCGCGAGGGGGAGCUAAUCCCAUAAAGCCAGUCGUAGUCCGGAUCGCAGUCUGCAACUCGACUGCGUGAAGUCGGAAUCGCUAGUAAUCGUGGAUCAGAAUGUCACGGUGAAUACGUUCCCGGGUCUU
rnacentral:rRNA from 1 species